rnacentral:rRNA from 1 species
GAUGAACGCUGGCGGCGUGCCUAAUACAUGCAAGUCGAGCGAACGGACGAGAAGCUUGCUCCUCUGAUGUUAGCGGCGGACGGGUGAGUAACACGUGGAUAACCUACCUAUAAGACUGGGAUAACUUCGGGAAACCGGCGCUAAUACCGGAUAAUAUUUUGAACCGCAUGGUUCAAAAGUGAAAGACGGUCUUGCUGUCACUUAUAGCUGGAUCCGCGCUGCAUUAGCUAGUUGGUAAGGUAACGGCUUACCAAGGCAACGAUGCAUAGCCGACCUGAGAGGGUGAUCGGCCACACUGGAACUGAGACACGGCCCCGACUCCGACGGGAGGCAGCAGUAGGGAAUCUUACGCAAGGGGCGAAAGCCUGACGGAGCAACGCCGCGUGAAUGAUGAAGGUCUUCGGAUCGGAAAACUCUGUUAGUAGGGAAGAACAUAUGUGUAAGUAACUGUGCACAUCUUGACGGUACCUAAUCAGAAAGCCACGGCUAACUACGUG